GGGCCCAUAGCUCAACGGUUAGAGCUGCCGGCUCAUAACCGGUAGGUUCUAGGUUCGAAUCCUAGUGGGCCCACCA
rnacentral:tRNA from 1 species